rnacentral:rRNA from 1 species
GACGAACGCUGGCGGCGUGCUUAACACAUGCCAGUCGAACAGAAAGGCCCUGCUUUUGUGGGGUGCUCGAGUGGCGAACGGGUGAGUAACACGUGAGUAACCUGCCCUUGACUUUGGGAUAACUUCAGGAAACUGGGGCUAAUACCGGAUAGGAGCUCCUGCUGCAUGGUGGGGGUUGGAAAGUUUCGGCGGUUGGGGAUGGACUCGCGGCUUAUCAGCUUGUUGGUGGGGUAGUGGCUUACCAAGGCUUUGACGGGUAGCCGGCCUGAGAGGGUGACCGGCCACAUUGGGACUGAGAUACGGCCCAGACUCCUACGGGAGGCAGCAGUGGGGAAUAUUGCACAAUGGGCGGAAGCCUGAUGCAGCAACGCCGCGUGCGGGAUGACGGCCUUCGGGUUGUAAACCGCUUUCGCCUGUGACGAAGCGUGAGUGACGGUAAUGGGUAAAGAAGCACCGGCUAACUACGUG